UGAGGAAUAUUGGUCAAUGGACGAGAGUCUGAACCAGCCAAAUCGCGUGAAGGAAGACUGCCCUACGGGUUGUAAACUUCUUUUGUACAGGAAUAAAAGACAUUACGUGUAAUGUAUUGCAUGUACUGUACGAAUAAGCAUCGGCUAACUCAGUGCCAGCAGCCGCGGUAAUACGGAGGAUGCGAGCGUUAUCCGGAUCUAUUGGGUUUAAAGGGUGCGCAGGCGGGAUUUUAAGUCAGCGGUGAGAUUUUCAGGCUCAACCUGAACACUGCCGUUGAAACUGGGAUUCUUGAGUAUGGAUGAAGUAGGCGGAAUUCGUUGUGUAGCGGUGACAUGCUUAGAUAUAACGAGGAACUCCGAUUGCGUAGGCAGCUUACUAAGCCAUAACUGACGCUCAAGCACGAAAGCGUGGGGAUCAAACA
rnacentral:rRNA from 1 species